UUCGAAUUACGAAAACCGAUUGAAUUUAGAAAACGAUCAUGAUCAAUUUUGGGUUGAAAUCCUAAAACUAAAUUCCUAAUUCUAGCCCACUUGGGUAAAGCCCACUAUUAUAAACCCAAACACCCAUAAUUCCAUCUCACGUGAAAUCAAAGAAACAACCAAAAAUCUCCCUCCUUGCUCUUCACGUGAAACAGAAAAAGAAAAAAAAAAAAAAAAGAAAAACACUCAAAAACUCUCAUACCUGCUCUCCUCCUUCACGUGAAAAAUUUGUUGCGCCUCCUCCUUGAUUAAUGCUGCUCAUACCGCCGCCACCACUAACCACCUGCACGACCACCGUCGCCCCUCGCCUGACCGUCGGUCUGCACGCCACCAUCGAGCUGCAACCACCACCUGCGCAGUCCGCCACCUAGUCGAGACCACCCCGCGCUGCACCACUUGCAUCGCGGCUGUUGCCUUGCCCAGCCGGCUCCCCUCCCUCUCUUCCCUUUCUUCUUUGCGUGCUAUCACACGCCGCCUCCAGCGCAGCCACCACCCUGCGCCACCGUCACGCCGACAGCCCCGCGACCACCCGUGCUUGCUGCCGCACAGUUCGCCGCCGGCCAGCCUCCCUUCUUUCCUUCUUUGGCGGAUAAUUCUCUUUAGGCGACUUUUGAAAGUGUCAAAGUGACCUAUCAGUUUGUUUACACAAGUCUCUAAGGAUCAAUAAGCAUUGUCCAUCUGCAGGUUUGAAGAUGUUGCAUCAUUGGGGUCGGGAAUAGAGAGCUUGUAUUUAGUUUUGAUUUGCUAAGUUGACUUGGGUUUGUUUAAUUUGACUUUAAACUUGUCGUACUAUUUAUAUUUCCUUAUUUUCGUUGGUUGAUUUUUGGGACUAAACCUGUAAUCGAUUAUUUAUAAACCUAAAGUUAGUUUUAUGUUUUCCGCUGCAAAA